UACGUAGGGGGCAAGCGUUGUCCGGAAUCAUUGGGCGUAAAGCGCGUGUAGGCGGUUCGGUAAGUCCGCUGUGAAAGUCGGGGGCUCAACCCUCGGAUGCCGGUGGAUACUGUCGAGCUUGAGUACGGAAGAGGCGAGUGGAAUUCCUGGUGUAGCGGUGAAAUGCGCAGAUAUCGGGAGGAACACCGGUGGCGAAGGCGGUUCUCUGGGCCUGACCUGACGCUGAGGUGCGAAAGCGUGGGGAGCAAACAGG
rnacentral:rRNA from 1 species